CUCAUAGCCUUCCACUAGGUGGCUGUAUGUACAUCUGUAGUUGCUUGCAAUCUUAUCAAUAAUGAUAAGAAGAAGUUAUCUUAUAAUUUUAUUUUUAAUUAAAAAAGUUAAAAAUAAAAAUACGGAUGGAUUUGCUCAUAUGAUUAUAUGAAAAUCUGUGUUUGUACCAUAUGAAAAUGUUUAAUAUUUGUAUUAGUAGUAAUAAUAAUAAAUUACGGAUUGCACCCGACAAAACAUUAGAGAAGAAGAAGAAGCUUACGUCAUUCGACGCGACACUUUCCACGGUCGGAGCUGAUCCGGAUCACAUACACAGGAGUCACUCAUUGAAGAUGAAUCACAUGGUUAGGCUGGACAGGGAUCUUG